AAGAAAACAAAUCUCCUCCAUGCCCAACAGAGUGGUUAUUCCGUGUUGAUAUUGUUAAUAAAUGGAAAGAGUCUAACGGUUUCAGUGCUACCCAGAUGUUUAGAGAAUAUCAAGAUGUCUGAUACGGCCUUACUGGGGGAUUAGAAGUCUUUUGGUUCAAUGGAAAAUUAGCUCAGCAGUCCAGUGAGAAAGUGUUGAAGGAUGCAAUGAAACCAUCACAAAACAGUUCUGCUUAUGUCUAUGAAAGCUGGCGUCGAACUGAAUCUAACCGCUUCUUCACACGUCUUCUUAACGGUACAGUUUAUCUUUACGAUUACGUUUAAGUUCCAAAUACGUUCCAACUAAAAACUCUAACAAUGUGAUUUCACCAUUUAUUUAUAAUAUCCCAUAAAAUAAAAUAAUAAAAUCAAAAAGAACUAAAAAAUAUCCUAACAAACAAUGAUUUUAAACUCAUUUUCAAAUGGAAAUAAUGUUUCAUAAGCUCAAACCAACGAAAAGAUCUAAUCUCACAAAUAUUUUUUCUUUUGUGUUACCAAACUCAAAAACCAAAAAAAUAAUAUGAAAAUUAAUGGAAAAGCAAAAUGAGGAAUUAUACAUAAUCAAACAUAUAGUUAAAAAAGAGUAACACUAUCUAAUAAAUAAAAUAAAAUACAAAUAGCAUACAUAUUACUAUCUCCCAAAUAUCAACACACUUUUAAAUAAAGCAAAAUGGCAUCGUAACAUCGUCUCUUGCAUUUUUUAAUUAAAGAAAUUAAUUACAAAGUUUUGGCGAACCGCAAUACACAAGAAAUCUAAAAAUAACAUAUGAUAAUGGAUUACCUCAAAUAAAUAAAUUUAAAAAUAAAAAUAAAAUACAUCGUCGCAAUAAAGAUAAAAUAUUAUAUCAUUCCAAGAACCACAACAAUAUAAUUAUGCAAUUUGGUCAACAACAGCUAAUUCAGCUCUAUAUAUCAUUAGAUAUUAUAUAAAUAAAGAUCACAUGUAAAUAAUGUUUCACAAAAACAGAAAAUUAUGCUUUUGAAAAUAAAAAUAUGUCGAUCUAAACACUUAAUUACGUCAAAAUCCCGCGCGGUGCCCUAGUAUUGCAUAACUAAGAGUUUAAUUACUUUCUCGCUUUCAACCUACAUGAAUUCUUAAGUUGGUGCAUAAUUACUCUGAAACUUGUUUUUAUCUAAAAAGUAUUAUUAAAAUAUAAAUUGAAAAUUGUUCAUUCAAUAAUAAAAUAAACUACAAAAUAUCAUUAGUUAUGAAAUUUUUGAUAAAAGUAAAAAUUACAUUGAAAAAAUGGAAACAUCUUCUAUUUUUAAACAUCAAAAACUUCCUUGUUUAAAACAGAUGGGGGUAUAACUUUAUUACAUUAUAUUAAGAAAACAAAGAAACUUGUCCUAUGAUAGCAUCAAAACUUGGAAAUGUGUAAUACAAAUAUGACAAUGGCCAGCCGAACAAAUUAGUUAGCAGGCCCUCUUCGUAGGGCACAAAAGCAUGUUUUUGAGAGUUCAGAGACUAAUCGAAACUGAUACGACGCAUCUUACAAACAAGAUUACCCGUAGGGAAAUCAAGUUCACUACCAGCGUCUGAUUUCAUCACAUCUUUGAGCUCAUCUCUUGGUGUAGCCACACACGUCUGGAAAGUUGCAAGCACAGGAGGAAUCGGCAUGGACAAGGCUGCAAGCACAUUGCUCAAGUACUCUAUAUCUAUACACAGUUGCUGUGCUCCUCGGUCUGAAAUGUAUUGGAUUCCUCUCAGUUGCUCCAUGUACAGAGCCGUUGCGCCUUCUGCUACCUUGAACAUCCACUCGGUUGCAAAGAACUGUGCGUCCUCGUUGUUUGAAUCACCAUUGGUUGAGAUUCCUUCAGCUAGAGGCUCAAGCUGCUGAGGUAAAGUCAGGAGAUAUUAUCCAACGCUUGUAACGUAAGCCUGAGGGUAUGAGCUGAAGUUUGGUAGAGCAAACGCAGUUUGUUCCUCCCCAGAAGACCAGAUUGGUAGGCAAGAUACUUCCCCGAGUCUUUGCCUGACUUUUGAUAUGAGGAUGUCAUAUACAAGUUUGUUCACUGUGUCCUCAAACGCAGCUACUCUCUGAGAUGCCAAAGGCAGUGCGUGGAACUUUGGAUCUUUUGACUGCAAAAAAAAAACAGCAAAAAGGAAAUGAAACAUAUGAACAGUGUAUAUUAAUUUAUGAAUCUUUGUCAAUUAAGACUACCUGUUCCAACAGGUUUAGGAGUUUGCGAGCCUUCUCCGGAACAUCAACCAACCGAAUAGCAGCCACAUCCAGGGAAGCUCAUCCAGCCAUAGACAAAUCUCCAGCUGUUUGUUCACUUGUCAAAUGUGACAGGUUCUGAUCCAGAUUUGUGCCAAAUAGUGAAAUAGACAAGCUGGAGUUUAGUCUAGCCAGAGUGGCUCUCAAAGAAGCUUCAAACACAGAAGACCUGCUCAAGUCAGCUUCUCACCGUCUUUAUAGGAGCUUUCGUCUAAGAUUUUAAGCCUUCUGGUGUUGUCAAUCGAGACAUGGUAACAUAAAGCUGUCCAUGGGUAAAUACAGGCCGGGGAAGAUAUAAAGCUGACUUGCUUUAGGCUUUGGCCUUGACUUUUAUUUAUUGUCAUGGCAUAGCUAAGUCGGAUUGGGUAUUGCCGUCUACGAAGUUAAAAGGAUGUAUGCUGUCAGUUGGGCUUAGCUGUAUCCUAGGGAGUAAUGUUCGUUCACCAACUUCUGGUCCGGUCAUUUUUAUCAAAAAAAACAAAAAAAAAACUUCUGGUCCGGUCAUAAUCUCCACUUCGACAAUCACCAAGCCAUGAUCCUGAUUAACGUUGCGCAGUGAAUUCAAAGGAGUAGCAUGAAUGUAGUUUACUCAAACCGUGCCCAAACUGAUCCGAUUCGAUUGUAUUUUAUAAAUUCCUUACUAACAUUUUCUUGUAUUCCUCCUGUGUAUUAAAAUAAUUUUAAAAUAAAAUCUAAAAAUUAAACCCGGGUGGAAUUAUUCAUACGUUAGUCUCCCAAUUAAUCUUGAAAUUUGAAUAGUUACAAAACAACUAAAAUUUUAAUAAAUCAACAAUUCCAAUUUAGUUAUAUAAUUAUAACUUUAUUUUUCUUAAUCUUAGGAAGAUUGUGAAUGAAUUUACUUGUUCCGUAGUCAUUUGUAUCUAAACCGAAACAUAUAGUAAAAAAAAACUAAAUAUUAGGAAUUAGUAAAUCAGAGUAUUUCGGUUGGAAUAUUGUGAAUGAAUUUACUUGUUCCGUAGUCAUUUGUAUCUAAACCGAAACAUAUAGUAAAAAAAAAACUAAAUAUUAGGAAUUAGUAAAUCAGAGUAUUUCGGUUGGAAUGUCACGUAAGAUGAUAACUCGAAUAAUACUGAAAGUCUGUAUAGUAACUAAUUAUUUAAAUAUUCUAUUAUAUCAUUACUCAAAAGUUAGUUAUAGGAUGACAAAAAGUUUCCUUUUAGUAUUGUUAUGAUUUCAACGUCAAAAGCCAAAAAC